CAAUUAUACAGCGAAACUGCGAAUGGCUCAUUAUAUAAGUUAUCGUUUAUUUGAUAGUACCUUACUACUUGGAUAACCGUGGUAAUUCUAGAGCUAAUACAUGCUGAAAAUCCCGACUUCGGAAGGGAUGUAUUUAUUAGAUUAAAAACCAAUGCCCUCUGGGCUCCUUGGUGAUUCAUAAUAACUUUUCGAAUCGCACGGCCUUGCGCCGGCGAUGGUUCAUUCAAAUUUCUUCCCUAUCAACUUUCGAUGUUUGGGUAUUGGCCAAACAUGGUCGCAACGGGUAACGGAGGGUUAGGGCUCG
rnacentral:rRNA from 1 species